rnacentral:rRNA from 1 species
AUUGAACGCUGGCGGCAGGCCUAACACAUGCAAGUCGAGCGAGCGGCGGACGGGUGAGUAAUGUAUGGGGAACUGCCUGAUAGAGGGGGAUAACUACUGGAAACGGUAGCUAAUACCGCAUACCAUCGGAUGUACCCAGAUGGGAUUAGCUAGUAGGUGGGGUAAUGGCUCACCUAGGCGCCGAUCCCUAGCUGGUCUGCGAGGAUGAUCAGCCACACUGGAACUGAGACACGGCCCAGACUCCUACGGGAGGCAGCAGUGGGGAAUAUUGCACAAUGGGCGCAAGCCUGAUGCAGCCAUGCCGCGUGUGUGAAGAAGGCCUUCGGGUUGUAAAGCACUUUCAGCGGGGAGGCGUUACCCGCAGAAGAAGCACCGGCUAACUCCGUGCCAGCAGCCGCGGUAAUAC